AUGUUUUCCAUAUUUGUUCAGCCUCCGUAAUCCGAAUACCAGGGCCGGCUCAGCCCGCCCAGCGCCGCCCGGGCCCAGGGCGCGCCGCCCACACACGCGCGCGCCCGCCGCCCGCGCCGCCGCCGCCGCCAUGGGCCAGGACAGGCCGCCCCGCGGCCAGCGCAGGCAGGGGGGGCUGCCGGCCGGGAGCGCCCCCGGGCCCGACGACAUGGGGCCGAAGAAGGGCCAGGGUCUCCCCAAGGAGUGCGGGGAGGAGGAGGCCCGGACGUGCUGCGGCUGCCGGUUCCCGCUGCUGCUCGCCCUGCUGCAGCUGGCCCUGGGCAUCGCCGUGACCGUGGUGGGCUUCCUCAUGGCGAGCAUCAGCCCCUCCCUGCUAGUCAGGGACACUCCAUUUUGGGCUGGGAUCAUUGUCUGCUUAGUGGCCUAUCUUGGUUUGUUUAUGCUUUGUGUCUCAUAUCAAGUUGACGAACAGACAUGUAUCCAGUUUAUUAUGAAACUGCUGUACUUUCUGCUGAGCGCCCUGGGCUUGAUGGUCUGUGUGCUGGCUGCAGCCUUUGCUGCCCACCAUUAUACACUGCUCAACCGGGUUACCUGUGAGGCCACACUCGACGCCUGCCACUGCAAACUGCCCUCCUCUGAGCCCCUCAGCAGGACCUUUGUGUACCAGGAUGUGACUGACUGCACCAGCAUCACUUUCACUUUCAAAGUGUUCUUACUCACCCAGAUGAUUCUUAACUUGGUGUCUGGCCUUGUGUGCCUAUUGGCCUGCUUUGUGAUGUGGAAGCACAGGUACCAGGUCUUUUAUGUGGGUGACAGGAUGUACUCCCUCUCAGCUUCUGAAGGCCAGCAGCAAAAGGUCUAACACUCUUGCUCAAAGGUGGGAGAGAAAUACAGCACACUGACUAGUUGAGGUUAAAAAAGAAAGAAAAGUAAAAAAAAAAAAAAAAAAAAACCCUGACAAUAACUAGUAUUCACGGUUCUAAACAAAUAUUUUUAUAUUUUUCAGAAAAUGAAAGAGUAUUUCUUCAAGUUUUCUAUAGUAUUUUUUAUAAAUUCUUAUGAAAAAAAAAAGAGCUCCAAAUUGAUUUUGGGACAGUAAAAGGACACUGAAUAGGGAAAGGAUAGCAUAGAUUUACCUUCACAGUCCGGAGUUUAUUCCUUAUAUUCAAUUUAUCCAUUACUUGUAUAAUCUUCUUUCCUGUUAGUCUAGUUUGGUGGUGCGAAUUGCCAUUUCAGGCCCACAUGCUCAGUUUUGUGGAAUCUUUUCCAGGCCCUCCUACCUUCCACCAGGAAGCCCUCGCUGUGCCUGGGGGAAAGACAGGGGCCGGGGAAAGAGUUGAUCUGCCAGGUGGACUCUCUAUUUUCCGUGGUAACAAGUGAAAGCAGCCUAGUAGGAAAGGAAGAGACUUUUGCAAAAGGCUCAAUAAUUAUGAACACCUGGGCGGGGGCGGCAGCCUUCUCUCCCCAGCUGCCUGGGCCCCGCUCUGUAAGUAGAUCGCUUGCUAAGUGCUUCAGGUGAUUGUCUGCGCCUCUAUAAUUGAAAGUUGGUAGUAGUUGUAUUCUUAAUGAUGGAGAAGGCCUACAAUAAUCACAUUAUGCUUCUAUUCUAUCAUCUACAACAAAUCAUUACAACAAAUUUCUAGCUAAUUGUUCAUUAUAAUUAUGCUCAGAAGUCUAUUUAACAAGCCCCUAGCUGAACUUAGGCAGCACAGUCGGUGUUAGGAGACGUGACUCUCACAAAGGAGAGGCCGGAAGAUGGUUUCUUGCUGUAUAAGGGAGGAAACAAUUUUAUUAAUAGCGCAGGUUAAAUAUACUCAUCUAAACAAAAACAAGAGCAUUUGUAACAGGAACGGUUAUACAAAUAGCACAUUUGUGAUCAGUUGUGAAGUGUCUCUCUUGGCAGCUAAGUACUUUUGAGGGAGAUUGGGUAAUGCCCAUGUGUUUCAUUCACGAAACUGUAUUUGAUAUGCAAUCCUAUUACUGAUUUGUAUGCACAGUGAAACCUAGAGACUAAAACGUUUUGAAGUCCUUCUUUGAUUGAGCAUUUGCACAUGGACUUGGAGGUAGUUUUUGCUUUUGUUUUUAAUUAACUGACAUAAAAAAGCACAAGUUCCCUGUUAUUGUUAUUGUUAAAUUUGGAACAAUGUCAGUGUUUUAAGGAAGGGUCUCAGAAUGCAAAUUCACGCAGUAUGAAUAUUACCAAGAACUGUUUCUCUUAUUAUGCUCUGUUGAAAUUUAAGAUAAUAAUUGAGUUUAAGUUGCCUCUCCACAUGGCUUAUAAACUUUACUAAUUAUGAAAUUCUACCCUAAAAGAAAAACAUUUUCUUGUCUGCCUUAGAAGACAGAUGAAUAAUUAUACUGA